AGAGUUUGAUCCUGGCUCAGGACGAACGCUGGCGGCGUGCUUAACACAUGCAAGUCGAACGGAAAGGCCUCAGCUUGCUGGGGUACUCGAGUGGCGAACGGGUGAGUAACACGUGGGUGAUCUGCCUUGCACUUCGGGAUAAGCUUGGGAAACUGGGUCUAAUACCGGAUAGGACAGCUGUUUAGUGUCGGUUGUGGAAAGUUUUUUCGGUGCAAGAUGAGCUCGCGGCCUAUCAGCUUGUUGGUGGGGUAAUGGCCUACCAAGGCGUCGACGGGUAGCCGGCCUGAGAGGGUGGACGGCCACAUUGGGACUGAGAUACGGCCCAGACUCCUACGGGAGGCAGCAGUGGGGAAUAUUGCACAAUGGGCGGAAGCCUGAUGCAGCGACGCCGCGUGGGGGAUGAAGGCCUUCGGGUUGUAAACUCCUUUCGACAGGGACGAAGCUUUUGUGACGGUACCUGUAUAAGAAGCACCGGCUAACUACGUGCCAGCAGCCGCGGUAAUACGUAGGGUGCGAGCGUUGUCCGGAAUUACUGGGCGUAAAGAGCUCGUAGGUGGUUUGUCGCGUCGUCUGUGAAAUUCCGGGGCUUAACUCCGGGCGUGCAGGCGAUACGGGCUGACUUGAGUGCUGUAGGGGAGACUGGAAUUCCUGGUGUAGCGGUGAAAUGCGCGAUAUCAGGAGGAACACCGAUGGCGAAGGCAGGUCUCUGGGCAGUAACUGACGCUGAGGAGCGAAAGCAUGGGUAGCGAACAGGAUUAGAUACCCUAGUAGUCC
rnacentral:rRNA from 1 species